AACGAACGCUGGCGGCGCGCCUAACACAUGCAAGUCGAACGAGAAUCCGGGGCAACCCGGUAGUAAAGUGGCAAACGGGUGAGGAAUACAUGGGUAACCUACCCUUGAGAAGGGAAUAACCCGCCGAAAGGUGAGCUAAUACCCUAUACGCUAUCUUUUUUUCGAAAAGGAUAGGAAAGCCGGGUCGAGGACCUGGUACUCAAGGAGGGGCUCAUGUCCUAUCAGCUUGUUGGUGGGGUAACGGCCUACCAAGGCUACGACGGGUAACUGGUCUGAGAGGAUGAUCAGCCACACUGGCACUGAGAUACGGGCCAGACUCCUACGGGAGGCAGCAGUGAGGAAUAUUGCGCAAUGGGCGAAAGCCUGACGCAGCGACGCCGCGUGGGGGAUGAAGGUUUUCGGAUUGUAAACCCCUUUCAUGAGGAAGAUAAAGUGGGUAACCACUUAGACGGUACCUCAAGAAGAAGCCACGGCUAACUUCGUG
rnacentral:rRNA from 1 species